rnacentral:rRNA from 1 species
UACAGAGGUCUCAAGCGUUGUUCGGAUUCAUUGGGCGUAAAGGGUGUGUAGGUGGCGCCGUAAGUCGGGUGUGAAAUUUCGGAGCUUAACUCCGAAACUGCAUUCGAUACUGCGGUGCUUGAGGACUGGAGAGGAGACUGGAAUUCAUGGUGUAGCAGUGAAAUGCGUAGAGAUCAUGAGGAAGACCAGUGGCGAAGGCAGCUCGCUGGGACGGUACUGACGCUGAGGCGCGAAAGCGUGGGGAGCAAACAGG